UUUCCUUGUAAUAAUUCCAUCGUUUUGGAUAAUGCUUUAUAGAUAGUUUCGUCUUCUGAUAUGACGAAAGCUACCUCCAGAUCAGAAUAUACCUGAUUCUUUACUAAGCCACAGACAAUAGUUGCAUGUGAGGGAAGAGGAGCUCCAGCAAGGUAUUUCAGGACCCCAUUAGAUUUGGGCAGGCUGGAUAGCUCAAACUGGUCAGAUAUGUCUAAAAACAGACGACAUCCAAUUUCCCUCG
rnacentral:misc_RNA from 1 species